rnacentral:rRNA from 1 species
CAGCAGCCGCGGUAAUACGGAGGGUGCAAGCGUUAAUCGGAAUUACUGGGCGUAAAGCGCACGCAGGCGGUCUGACAAGUCAGAUGUGAAAUCCCCGGGCUUAACCUGGGAACUGCAUUUGAAACUGUCAGGCUGGAGUCUUGUAGAGGGGGGUGGAAUUCCAGGUGUAGCGGUGAAAUGCGUAGAGAUCUGGAGGAAUACCGGUGGCGAAGGCGGCCCCCUGGACAAAGACUGACGCUCAGGUGCGAAAGCGUGGGGAGCAAACAGGAUUAGAUACCCGAGUAGUCCCUGUCUAUUAUAA